UUACAUAUAAAUAUGAAUUAAAUUAUACAUAUACAUAUUAUGUAUAUUAAAAUAUAUUCUUACUUUGUUGUUAAAAUGAUACGAAAGGACUCGAAACUCAAAGUGUAAGACUUGCGACUUGCCUUCUAAAAAUUAAGUGCAUCAAAUGACGCAUAAAUGAAAUAAAACAAAAAUGCUAUAAACCAUAGUUUUCAAAACCUCACAUCUCUUAAGUGGCAACGUGACAUUCCUUACAUACUCCAUGAUCUCACCCACUGGACAAAAAUAAUUCGACUCUUCUGUUCAUUAGAAGUAGAUCAAGUAAAGGUUGACUUGAUCUUUCAGAUUGUAAAAAGAUUUAUACUUAUUAAAUACUGUAUUCAUUUCCCCUCUGUACACACAAGUGAAAUCAGUAAAUGUUUUGUGGUCAUCAUCUUGAAUAAAGACUUUGAUAAGGAUUUGCGUGUCCAUACACAAGCCUGAUAAUGUGCAACCUUUCGGAGCGUGUAGAGCAUAGGUGUCAAACUCAGGGCCCGGGGGCCAAAUGCAGCCCGCCACAUUAUUUUAUGUGGCCCGUGAAAGCCAAUCAUGCUCGUCAACUUCCGUGAUUUUUACUAAAAUCUGUACCCAAAUUCCAAAUUGUCAUAAUAAUAAACAAUAAUGUUGAGAUAUUGCAUUUUUCUGUUACCAAACCCUUCUUCUACAGUAACUUAAACAAUACUUGAACAAAUUAUUAUCCUUGUUUUCUGAUUUCAAAAGUAGUUAUCCCUCAAUUUGUUGUGUAAUGGUAAUAAUAUAAUUUGGUGAUUAAACAUUUUCAUUUGGUUUCACUGUUCUAACGGCCCCCUGAGGAAAAUCAUAACUACAAUGCGGCCCGAGACAAAAAUGAGUUUGACACCCCUGGUGUAGAGUGUAGAACGGUGACAGUGUGUGGUCAUACGGCCACAGUUAUUGCUUUCUUUCUUCUUCAAGAAUUGACAUCUUCUGUUGACUUCACAAUUGUUUGUUUUCACACAUAAAAAAAUACUUAGGUUUUCACAGUGGUUACACCUCUAACAAGAAACCGAGCAUAGACAUUUUGCAUUAUUUAUUGUUUGUAGUGUCAUGAGCUGUGCCCUGCAGUCCUUUUGUUGGCACUUGGGUGGCCCCUUUGCGCUCCUCUCUCUCUCUCUCUCUCUCUCUCUCUCUUCCCAGUAAUCAGCACCUCCUCGGCCACACACCUGUCACCAACCAGCCUUCUUCAUCAUCUGCAUUUAAGCCUGCCAGUUCCAAGACUCCACUGCUCGAGUAUUAACGUUCUUCUGUGUGCUCCCUCCGUGUCCCCCGCCGAGUGGACAUCUUCCACCACGCCGCCAUGCCAGCCGCCUGUUCUCGCCACCGCCUGCCACACGUUCCCUGCCUCCACAACUCGCCAGCACGUCUCAAGGAACAUCUCCAUUUCCUCUUUUAAUAAACCUUUCAUCAUAACCCCUCAGCCUCUCCCUGCUUCUGGGUCCAGUCAAAAACGAACCGUGACAUGUAGUCCAUAUAAUUGGAUACACCUCGGCUGCAAAACACACCUAUCAAACGUGUGUUCCAAUACCUCCCCCUAGGAAAAAUGGGUGGGUUCAAACAAAAAGUCAAAUUUGUGUAUCAAAUCCAGAUGUUAAUAUCUGUCAAUAAAAAUGGCAAUGUUGAUCACUUGUCUCAGAUUCAUGUUUGAUGUCAACCCCAAAUGUUGUCAGUCAACCCUAACAAAAUAAAGGAAUUAAUCUCAAUGUUCCAGUAUUAUUUGCGGUGACUAUAGUAUAUUCCAAUUUGGAUGUUACUUGCCAUUACUCCUUAUUUUCCAACCAUGAAAAUGUAAUGGAACCAAUCGCUACUGUCCAGAUGAGCACUGUAUAAAUAAGACUGAGGAGAAAAUAAAUAAAACACAACACGAUUUAGGGUUUCCUUAUUUAUGUAAAAUUUGUAUGUACACGUAACAGUCAGAAAUGCACACAAAAUAGUGCUAAAACAGACCAACAAUAUCAAACAAAACACUUCAGACAACAGUUUACACUUUUUCAGGUGAAAACAUGUCAAACUGCAAACAAUUUCAAUUCAGCUUAAUAAUGAUUACUACAAAUACAAAGUUGCACUAGAGGCACAUAU